rnacentral:lncRNA from 1 species
UAAUUACUUUGAAUGUAAAUGGACUAAAUGCUCCAAUCAAAAGACAUAGGGUCAUAGAAUGGAUUAAAAAAGCGAGAUCGAACCCCAUGUUGAGUGUAGAAACUACUUAAAUAAAUAGAAGUAACUUACUUUUUAAAAGGCCUACCUAUAUGCUGUCUACAAGAGACUCAUUUCAGACCUAAACAUACUUACACUUUGAAAGUAAAAGGUUUGGAAAACAUUUAUCAAGCAAAUGGAAGUGAAAAGAAAACCAGGUUAGGGCAGCCCCAGUGGCGCAGCGGUUUAGCGCCACCUGCAGCCCAGGGUGUGAUCCUGGAGACCCAGGAUCAAGUCCCACGUCGGGCUUCCUGCAUGGCCUGCUUCUCCCUCUGCCUGUGUCUCUGCCUCUCUCUCGCUCUCUCUGAAUAAAUAAAUAAAUAAAUCUUAAAAAAAAAAAAAAAAACCAGGUUAGCAAUACUUCUAUCAGACAAAAUAGACUUUAAAACAAAGACUGUAACAAGAAACAAGGAAGGACACCACAUAAAGGGAACAAUCCAACAAUAAGAUGUAACAAUUGUAAAUAUUUAUACACCCAACAUGAAAGCAUCCAAAGACAUAAAGCUGCUGAUAAUAAAUAUAAAAAAGAUCAUUAAUAGUAAUACAAUAAUAGUAAGGAACUUUAACACCCCAUUUACAUCGAUGGAUAGAUCUUCCAAACAGAAAAUCAACAAGGAAUCAGUGGCUUUGAAUAAUGCAUUGGACUAGAUGGAGCUAAGAGAGAGAUUCAGAACAUCACAUCCUAAAACAGUGGAAUACACAUUCUUUUCAACUGCAUGUGGAACAUUCUCCAGAAGAGAUCACAUGCUGGUCCACAAAACAAGUCCCGACAAAUUCAAAAUUGAAAAGUCAUGCAUCCUUUCCAACUACACCACCAUGAAACUAGAAAACAAGCACAAGCAAAAUCUGGAAAGAAAAUACAUACAUGGAGGUUAAAUAACAUGCUACUAAACAAUGAAUGGGUCAACCAAGAAAUCAAAGGGGAAAUCAAAAAAUACAUGGAGGGACACCUUGGUGGCUCAACAGUUGAGCGUCUGCCUUUGGCUCAGGGCUUGAUCCUAGAGUCCUGGAAUCGAGUUCCACAUCGGGCUCCCUGCUUGCAGCCUGCUUCUCCCUCUGCCUGUGUCUCUGCUUCUUUGUGUGUGUGUGUGUGUGUGUGUCUCAUGAAUAAAUAAAAUAUUUUUAAAAAAUACAUGGAGACAAAUGAAAAUGAAAAUACUGGUCCAAAAUCUUUGAGAUGCAGCAAAAGAGGUUCUAAGAGGGAAUUUUACUCUGUAGUUAAGAAU